rnacentral:misc_RNA from 1 species
GAAAUGCGAUAAGUAAUGUGAAUUGCAGAAUUCAGUGAAUCAUCGAAUCUUUGAACGCACAUUGCGCCCGCCAGUAUUCUGGCGGGCAUGCCUGUCCGAGCGUCUUUUCAACCAUCAAGCCCCCGGGCUUGUGUUGGGGACCUGCGGCUGCCCGCAGGCCCUGAAAACCAGUGGCGGGCUCGCUGUCACACCGAGCGUAGUAGCAAUCACCUCGCUCAGGGCGUGCUGCGGGUUCCGGCCGUUAAACAGCCUUACAAAACCCAAGGUUGACCUCGGAUCAGGUAGGAAGACCCGCUGAACUUAAGC